GGGGAUGUAAUGGUCUCGACAUUGAUUGUUGCCCAUGUGUUGCACUCCGGAGGUCUCGGCUCCGUCAUCAACGGACAGUUCAUUAACUGCAAACAAUGAAAAUUCUUACGCUUUAGCUGCCUAAAAAGUAGUUUAGCGUGAUCCGCUUGUCUUCGCUCAAGGGACAAAUACGGGUCUCAAAUGAAUUGAGCUACGACUAAUCGCGCCAUCUGAACGGUUAGGAAGAGAUUAACAGAUUAGCACUUAGGGGUUAGCCUCGCUUGCUGGCGCGCCCUCUGUGCGAAAUUUAAAAGAGCGAGCUAUGAGUGUAGAGCCAUAUGACGCGAGGUUGAUGGACAGGGGUUCGAUUCCCCUCAUCUCCAUUU
rfam:Lactobacillus saniviri JCM 17471 = DSM 24301 NODE_44, whole genome shotgun sequence.